GUUUAGAUCCGAUGUUAUAAAUAACAGAGGAUCCUGAUAGCGUGCUGGAUCCCUAAUAAGAGUGGUAGCAAGCAAAAGUUCCUACUCUAAUCUAGAUGUGUAUUCGAUAAUCGGCUACAAUGUAUGUUAGAUACAGAGAGACAGUAUAGAUUGUAAAAUUAGCUGUAUAGUGAUACACUUGAACGGGAAAGAGUAGAAGCAUGCUAAGGGUCUAUAGCCAUCCCUGCGG